rnacentral:rRNA from 1 species
UACAGAGGGUGCGAGCGUUUAAUCGGAAUUACUGGGCGUAAAGCGCGCGUAGGCGGCUUUGCAAGUCGGGUGUGAAAUCCCCAGGCUUAACCUGGGAACUGCAUUCGAGACUGCAUUGCUAGAGUAUGGGAGAGGGAAGUGGAAUUUCCGGUGUAGCGGUGAAAUGCGUAGAUAUCGGAAGGAACAUCAGUGGCGAAAGCGGCGUUCUGGACCAUUACUGACACUGAACCGCGAAAGCUAGGGGAGCAAACGGGG